rnacentral:rRNA from 1 species
GGAUGAGCCCGCGGCCUAUCAGCUUGUUGGUGGGGUAAUGGCCUACCAAGGCGGCGACGGGUAGCCGGCCUGAGAGGGUGUACGGCCACAUUGGGACUGAGAUACGGCCCAGACUCCUACGGGAGGCAGCAGUGGGGAAUAUUGCACAAUGGGCGCAAGCCUGAUGCAGCGACGCCGCGUGGGGGAUGAAGGCCUUCGGGUUGUAAACUCCUUUCGCUAGGGACGAAGCUUUGUUGUGACGGUACCUAGAUAAGAAGCACCGGCUAACUACGUGCCAGCAGCCGCGGUAAUACGUAGGGUGCGAGCGUUGUCCGGAAUUACUGGGCGUAAAGGGC